AGGGGCAAAACUGUAGAAAUACAGUGACGCAAAGUUGGGAGUCUAAGGUAUGGGGUAUACUAUGAUAGUUCGACUGC
rnacentral:ncRNA from 1 species